UUUUUUUUUUUGUUUUGUUUUGUUUUGUUUUGUUUUGUCUAUUUAGGGCCACACCUGUGGCAUAUGGAGGUCCAAUUGGAGCUGUAGUCACUGGCCGACACCACAGCCACAGCAACACCAGAUCCGAGCCACGUCUGCGACCUACACCACAGCUCAUGGCAAUGCCAGAUCCUUAACCCACUAAGCGAAGCCAGGGAUCGAACCUGCGUCCUCAUGGAUACCCGUCAGAUCCGUUUCCUCUGAGCCACGAUGGGAAUUCCAGGAAAAAGAUUUCAAAUAUAACGGCUUAAGGCAUCAUUCACGUACCAUGCCCGAGACACUAGUUUCUAGUGUAUGCACAGAGCUGGGCCACUGUCGCCAAAAUCCAUUUAGAAUAUCUUCACAACUCCAGAAAGAAACCCCGGACCCGUUAGCAGUCACUUCCAUUUCGCCCCCCAGCCCUAAGCAAUGAAUACAUUUUUGAGCAUAAGCAUAUCCCAAAGACGACACGGGACACUUUUUUUUUGGCCACGCCCAUGGCAUGGGGAAGUUCCUGAGCAAGGAAUUGAACCUGUGCCACAGCAAUGACCUGAGCCCAGGCAGUGACAAGGCCAGAUCCUUAAGCUGCAGAGCCACACGGGCACCCUGACAUGGGAGAUACACUUGUACAAAAAGGUAUUUGUUGUUUAUCUGAAGUUGAAAUUUAACCGAGUGUCCUGUUUCGUUUUCCUUUCUAAAUCUGGCGGCCCUGCCCCCGGGGCGGCCGUGGGCAUCAAGAGCGCCAGGUGCUUCAGACAGAGUCAGUGAUGUGUGCAUUGGCUGGUCUGUUAUUUUUACUGUCUUCAUUUGUGUUCUCCCAGAAGCAGAGCCCAGGGACAAGGAUUUGUGGGCCAGGGGUCUGUCCGUGAGCGGCUUUGGGAAGGGCGGACGUGGAGUGGUGAGAUGGGGUGGGGGGCAACGAGGGGCCACAGGGAGCGGUCCUGCUGGGGACCCUGGGAGAGGAGGGGUCCUGGGAAGGACAGGGGUUGCAGACUCGAUCAGGAAUGCCUUUCUUUCUUGGUGGGAUGUCACCCUCCUGCCUGGGGCGGCAGCUGAGACUCUGAAUCACGGGGCUCUGGGAGUUCGGCCAGUGGGUGCCGAACAGGUGAUGGAGACACCCCAGGCACAUGAACUGGGGUGAAUGGUGUCCCCCCAAAUUCCCAUCCACCGGGAACCUGCGAGGGUGAUCCCUCAUGGCAGGCGGACCUUUGCAGAUGUUAAAACGAGGCGUCGUGGAACAGCGUGGACCCUCAGCCAAGGUCUGGAGUCCGGAAAAGAAGAGGGGAGCCUGGACACACACACACACACACAGGGAGGGCGGUCAUGUGACAGCAGAGCCAGAAGCUGGAGGAGGCGGCCACGAGCCAAGUGGCGCCAAGGACAGCCGGAACCGCCAGGAGCCAGAAGAGACAAGGAGGGACGCUCCCCGAGAGCCUUCUUCGGGGAUCACAGCCCUGCCGGCCCCUUGAUCUUGGCCUCCAGGACUGCAGGAGGGUACACUCCUGCUGCUUGAAGCUGCCCAGGCUGUGGCCCUCUGCUACAGCCACCCCGAGACAGGGAGACAGCGUGUCCCUCUGUCUCUGUGCCUCGGCCCCUUCAACAACAAAAGGGAUCAAAGCAGCAGCCUCCCAGGGCGGCCGUGCGUGCGGCGCAGCCAGACACCCCAGGCGUUCAGCGCGGGCCCAGGAUGCCCUAUGCCCUGGGCAGCGCCAGCGGCUGCGGGUUGGUCUGGCUCGGUCCCUGCCCCGCCAGAACGCAAUGGGCUGACAGCCCCAAACCCUUGAAGCAGCCCCAGCUGGGGAGGCUGGUGCCCUUGUUCUGUGCACUCCCGGGGCACCACAGUGACAGAGCGGCUGCUAUCAAUUCCUACAGCGCCCGCCCUCUGCCCGGCCCUUGCCAUGCUGCCAGCAUCGCGCAUCCCAGGAGCGCAGACACAGAAUGUCAUGUCAUAGCGUUCGCGGUCCCAUAACCUUUGCUUCAGGGGGCGGCUCCAGCUGUCAGAGGAGCCUGCAGGUAAAUAUUUCAGCAGCCGGAGGCCAGUGCGGGGGCUCGGCCGGCCGGGGGCCAGGCUCCCCGGGGGGGCGGGCGGCGGGGACAGGCACGGCGGGAGCGCUGGCGGCCAAGCUUGAGCCGUUUUAAAAUAUUCUCACGGUAAAUCCAAAGCAAGCAAGCAGGAGAGGCUCAAGCAAGGAUAAAAUACGAGCAGAUAUAAAGCCAGACACCUUUAUUGUUCCGAAAUGUCUUCCAGCAAGUUAUGGGACCACAGCUUGACCCUCACCUAUCACACUGUUAAACAGCAGGACACAAAGCAGGCUCUCGGAAUCGGGGCUCAAAGGAGGCUCUGGUCCCCCACUCGGCGGGAAUCUGACCCCGACGCUGCUGUAAAGAGCCCUGUCCUUCUCUCCUGCUGGGCACCCCCCCUUUCGGUCAUGUGAAGGUGUCCCCCCUGCCUGCGCUGGCAGAGCCCUGCCUGCCGUGUCACAAAGCGACAGGCGUUCAGGCUUUAUUGAGCACUUACUACGCCCGGCAAUGGUCUGGGGCCUGGGGACACGGAAAUACAUCAAAUAACUUGGACGCGGCAGCCUGAUGGGAGAACGGGAUCGGAGCUUGUUGCCAAGCACGGCCGCUUGUCCCCAAGAGAGGCCUGUUCUCUCUGUCCCUCCUCAGGCCUCCUCAGGCCUCCGCUGCCUCCCAGGUGAAACGGGCAAAGAGCCCAACUCCCUCUGGGGGUCUUGGUGACCCUUUAGCGCCACGAGCCACACAAAGCGCUAAGCUCGGGCCUACCCCGCCCCCCACGUGGCUGCUGCUAAGUGAUGUCCUUCUCUGGGGCUCGGUUUGCUCCUCCGUGAAAUGGGGCAACAGCCACACCUCCUCCCCGGGCUUUGGUGCCAAUUCAGUGGCUUAGGACAGGUAGGGGGCUUCAGCUGGAGGGGCUCCGACCCUAGGCUAGGGAUCGAAUCAGAGCUGCAGCUGCCCGCCUACGCCACAACCACGGCAAUGCGGGAUCCGAGCUGCAUCCGCGACCUAUGCUGCAGCUCAAGGCAACGCCAGAUCCUUAACCCACUGAGUGAGGCCAGGGAUCGAACCCACGUCCUCCCAGACACUAGCCAGGUUCUUCACAACGAGGGCUAUUCUUAUUUACACAGAAGGGGAAGCCCUGGAGGCUCGGCCAGUAGAACCUCCUCCCCGUUCUAGGGUGACGGGGACAGGGACAAAGGGUGGGUGAGGUGCAGGAGGAAAAGCAGUGACAGGACCACCUGAGGAGCUCUGAAGGGCAAGGCCUGCCCCACCUGCAUGCAAAUCGGAUGCAAAUACGCUUGCUCCCCGCAUCGAGGUCCCAACCUGCAGCCUGGUAGGAGCUGGGCAGCUCCCUGGAGUUCUGCCCAACCACACAGCUCUGGAUGAUGCCAGGUGGGCCCAGACUGGUGCUGGGCGCUGGGCACCUCUGUCCCCAGCCCCUGGCUGGGAGGCCUCAGGACUGUUACCUUUCUCUUUUUAAAUGUUUAAAAUUUGUAUUUUCGUUGGGUCCACAGCAUGUGGAAGUUCCCGGGCCAGGCAUCAAACCCGCACAGCCACAGAGACGAUGCCGAAUCCUUAACCUGCCCCACCACAGUGGGAACUCCCUGGUUCCCUUUCUUGAUCAGUGACAGCCACUCCAAGGUCCCGAGAGGGCCCUCGAUGUCACCGAUGUCACGGAGAUUUUCUCCACCUUUUAGAAUUUGUGACACACUUGUGACUUUGCCUGGAGGUGCUUCAUCUAACCCAUCUUCUCACCCACCCUGUCACAAGGCAGCACGCAGCCCCAGCAUCUCCCGCUGUUUCUGUCAACGGGCAGGACUGGAUGGGGGAAGGAAAGAUGCCUGAGCGUUGUCUGCCAUCCUCUGUUCUCUUCUUCCACCCACUCCUAGCAUCCUCCCCGCCCUCCUCCUUCAUCCAGCCAUCCAUCCUUCCGUCCAGCCGUCUGUGCGGCCGAUUAGGUUUACUGAGCCCCUACUAUAUGCCGGGCGCUCCCCUACGUUCAGGACACACAGCGAGCAAAAGACACAGACAAGCUCCCCGGAUAGGACGUUCCAGCCAAAGGAGAUUAAAAACCCACAGAAACCAAUGAACAAGACAAUCUGGAGUGACUGGUGCCGAGUAUGAGGAAGAAGGCAAACCAAGACAUCUGAGAAUGAGGGACCUGAGGGGAGGCAAUCAGGUGACCCGGGAGGGCUUCCUGGAGGAGGUGGCGUGGGAGCUGGAGCCUGAAGGGGGAGGGGGCCACUCAUGCUGAGUGCUGGACCUCGGGUGUUCCAGGCGGCGGCGGGAAGAGCGAGGCCCCGGCAGGCCCAGGAGAGGAGGGGCCACAGGAGGGGCUCAAGUGGGAAGGGAAACCAGCGGGGCUGGGACUGGGCAGGGCCUGGAGGGUGGGGUGGUCCUCAGGGGCCGGGGAGCUGCCCCCUCCUCAGGCCCCGUGUCCCCGGUACUGGCCCCAGGGAGCCCGCAUGCAGCACCUGCCAGGUUCUGGGCCAGAAAAGCCACCUUGAGAGACCAGGUUGUCAGACAGAAGCGGGGACACCCCAGUAAGGUCCCUGCGGACAUCAAGGGGCCCUGAGCGCCCCCCUCUCCGACUGUAGGAGCGACAGGUUGGGGAGCUGCUUCCAGCCCCCAUAGCCAGAGCCAGCCUCUCCUGAGCACGGACUCCACAGAGUCUCCCUUCCAAGGCUUCUCACAAGUACACCUGUCCAAUCCUCUCAUCAUUUUACAGUGGAGAAAUUGAGGCCCAGAGAGGGUAAGCGUGUGCUCAAAGGUCACACAGACGGAUCCGAGCCUGUGCUGUGAGCCAACACUGCCGCUGUGGCUGCUGCCAGCAAUGAACAGUAACACAUGUCAUUUCCACAGCGCUCUGGCCCCAGGGCCAUCAAAAGUGCGUGCCAUUUGCAGCGCGUCUUACGGCCACAGAGCUCCAGUUCCAGUUAUUAUCCCAUUUCACACAUGAGCAAACUGAGGCAACAGCGGGGAAGAUGUGGAGGCUGGGGUUUGAGCCAGGCAGGAGAGGGCUCCUCCUGCUUUGGCAUCUACCGCCGCUAGGGUUUGGGGGCACAGGGCUGUUAAGAGGGGGGCCCAGGGCACCUGCUGUCACUUCCCUCUCUGCAGGCCGCACGGCAGAGCGGACAGGGGCAGAGCCCACGUGAAGCAUGCCACCUGCAGUCCCCACAGUUAAACAGACUGGGAGGUGGGCUGGCUUCCAAGCUGGCAUCCUGUCAGCCCCAACCUGUCACACAGAGACCCUGAGCAAAGGGCAGCUGUGAAAAAUGAACUUCAUCAGACUCCGCGGGUCUCAUUACCAUCCAUCAGCAGCCAGCCCGCCCCUGGGGGGGCCGGGGGGGGGGCUCCACCUAAGCCAUGGCGCUCAGCCCAGCUUUGCCUCCUGCCUCGCUCCCCAGGGACCCGAGAAGCAGCCGCCAGCCAGCGGUGGGGGCGGGAAGCCAGCAUCUCCCACCAGGGCCGGCCGCCGGGCAGCUGUGGGUCUCUGGCCAGGGGCCUGGAUGGUGGGGGCCUCCCAGAGAGACACAGCCAACCUGCUCUCUCUCUCUGCCCCCAGCCCCCGUCCCCCGCCCGGAUAAGCAGCUACUGGCUGGCACCCACCCCCAACCCCUGUCGAGCUCACCCUGCCCUACUGGGCCCAGCACGGGACAAGGGGCCUCCUCGGGCAGAAAGGGCUCGUCUUCCACCUGGUGGAGCUCCUGGGGCAGGUGCCAGGGGUGGGGGGCAGGGAGACCUUUAGGAGGGGAAGCAGUUCUGGAGGCAUCGGGCUGUGCCAAGGUCAGGCGAGGGAUGGGGGUGGGCGGGGGACAGGAACCCCACAGCCUAGCCUGGCUGAGCACGAGGCUCCCAGUGGCCAGGCGCAGAGCAGGCCUGCUCCAAAGGUCAUCUCCCAUCUUCCCCUGGUCCCUUCCCAAAGAACCCCCAGGACACGGAAAAGGCCCACAAGGCUUGGGCCCGCCUGUCCUGUGACUCCCGUCCUGCAUCUGAGGGACCAGUUUCAAGUCACUCCCCUCCUCCAGCCAGGCUUGGGGCCCCUUGGGAGCGGCUGGGCUUCACCAAGGCCCCAGAUGAAGGCUGCUGGGCGUUCAGCAUCCCACCUGCACGCCUGGCCGCAAGCUCUCGGCCCUUCUGUGAGCUGAGCUGCCACGCGCAUGAGAAGCGAGAGCGAGACCCAAGGGACAGGGGGACAGGUAAAGGAAAUCCUUUCCCACGACAACACUGGAGGCCACUGGUUCAGGGCCUGCUCAGUGGGCCCG
rnacentral:lncRNA from 1 species